GAAUGCCCCUCACCAUUAAAAUAUAAUAUCUAGACAAUAACAAACAACACAUUAAUUAGUCUCAUGAUUCCUAACCUCCUUAAACUUUAUUUUAUUACCAUAUUAACCAAUGCAAUACAAACAAUUCAAAAUAUUAUUCUUUAAUUUGCAUAUCUUUAAUUAAAAAAUAUAAACCAAAAAUAUAUUUCCCUAAUUAUAUAUCCCUAA
rnacentral:lncRNA from 1 species